GUACUGCCGAUGAGUCCCAAACUAGGACGAAACAGCUGUCCAGUAC
rfam:Trichobilharzia regenti genome assembly, scaffold: TRE_scaffold0001608